UCAAAGUCCUGAAACACAGGACAGCGCGUGCCAAAACCUCGUGGCUGCGGCCGCACGGGCUUACAGUUUAAACUGCGCGUAAAGAUGCCCAGGACCCACGCGGAAGCCCCUGGGACACCCGCCAGGACACCCGCCCGCCCCGGGCCGGGGGCAUCGGGAGCCACACCCCCGGGACGCGCCGCGGCGCACGUACGUGCGGCGGGCCGGGGAGGGCCACAGAUGGUAUAGAAUUUGCCUGCAAUGAAGGAGACCUGGGUUGGAUCCCUGGGUUAGGAAGAUCCCCUGGAGAAGGGAAUGGCAACCUACUCCAGCAUUCUGGCCUGGAGAAUCUCAUGGACAGAGGAGCCUGGCAGGCUACAGUUCAAGACACAUAGAGUGGGAUGCGACUGAACGACUGACACUUCACUUUGUAUCCCAGAAGUGUUUCUGCCUAUAACAAACCUUCAAAUAAUGUUGUGAAAUAAUUCUAAUUAAACUAUGGAGCCUUUA